rnacentral:rRNA from 1 species
UACGAAGGGGGCGAGCGUUGUUCGGAUUUACUGGGCGUAAAGGGUGCGUAGGCGGGUCUUUUAAGUCAGGGGUGAAAUCCUGGAGCUCAACUCCAGAACUGCCUUUGAUACUGAAGAUCUUGAGUUCGGGAGAGGUGAGUGGAACUGCGAGUGUAGAGGUGAAAUUCGUAGAUAUUCGCAAGAACACCAGUGGCGAAGGCGGCUCACUGGCCCGAUACUGACGCUGAGGCACGAAAGCGUGGGGAGCAAACAGG